AAAGGAUCUCUUCCUGGAGAUCCCUCCUUGGUGAAGCUUUCCUCUGUGAACCUGGAGUCUUCCAAUAUGGAGGGACUGGAGGAAAGUUGAGCAGCAAGCACUGUGCAGACCUCCAAUGUCAAUAGCACUAGGCAAACAGUGUAGCAGGAUAACUAACCUCUGACCUGAAAAUCUAUGCCCUUUCUCACUAUGGCCUGUCUUACUCCAUACGAACAGCCUCUCACCUUGUGGUCCUAGCCUGCAAAUGAAGAGUCUCAGAAGGGUAACCACCUGAGUGACAGUCAUUGCAGUUCAUGGGACAGGUCUUGAGAGAGGUGUGGGACCUGCAGUAAGGCCUGGAACUGAUAUUAAUUACUUUUCUAUCAUUAAGUGUUACAGCUUUUCUUAAGCUUCUAAGCUAUGCCCUACAUCAAAUAAAAAGGUAAAUCACCACGUACCUUAGUGGGCUUUGGAUCAAGGAAGCUGCCAGCCGCGUGGUUCUUGCUAUCCCAAAAUGGGACCCUCUGAUGUUGCUUAUUCCUCAUAUACUGCUGUAUCCAGUCAAAGCAUACAGAAAACAAGCAUCAGAGUUUUUUAACUGAUGUUAAUUGUUCAGAUAGUAUUUGUGACACUGUACGGAUGAUGAAGAAUCACAAUGUUCUGGGUGAUUUAUCUUUUCAUUUUACUCUAGACAUAGCUUGGAAGCUUAAGAAAAGCAGUGGUGCCUAGAAUCACACAUAACGAAUUGCUGAGUGGGGUCACUUUCUUGGGAAAUUUGUGGUUAGUUCAGAUUUCUUCCAGUGCUGGUGGCCUAAGGAGCAGCCAGAACCUUCCUGAAACAGGAUCAAGUAGGAAGUUGCAACCACUGAUCAGCUGAAGAAUUACUGAGCAUCCAGAUCUGCCUGGAUGUUUGAGGGGGGGAAAAAAUCAGUGGUUCUCAGAUAACUCUCUGAUAGGUGAGCCAUGGUGAACGAGUCUGGCAAUGAAAUGGUGUCUUGGAGAAACUGAAGUGUUUAGGUAGAGGGAAAGAAAAGUUUCUUUUGUCUCAAGAGCAGAAAAAAGUCACCUCACUUGAUGAAGGCUUAAUCCCUGCAGAUGGUCUGAAGCCACAGCAUCUUUGUUCUCUCCAUGCUAGCAUCUGUUGAAAAGUUGUCAUCACUGCUUAUGCCAAAUGCUGGAUGGGGAACAAUUUGUGUAAAUCCUGCUCAAAAUAACAAGCUCGUUAAUAGCUUAUAUUCUCUAUAAGCAGCCAAGGUACACUUAGCCAUGACAGUUUUCUUUCAGUGGACUUUGAGGUAUUAUCAGCUGUGACAGUGUGGAGUGGGUGGAAUGUGGGGAACAAAAGCCCCACACAAAGGAGGCACUUUAGGUCUGGGCUCCUCUGCUUCCUAGAGGCCACACAGUGCUGAGCUACAGUGAGAUUCUUUUCUCUAAUUAAUAUUUCGUUCUCUGGGAGAGUUUUGAGUUAUCCCUUGAGAUAUGUUAAAGGUUUGCACAUUUUCAGGAAGAGAAACAAGGCUGCUGAACUUGAAUUAAGAAAAUAUGUUGAAAGGAGCUGCUACAGCCUGUAACUUUGGGCGAGGGACACGUAAAACCAUACAGUAUUACUGCACUUUUCAUUGUAUUACUUGUUCUAUGUCCUAUUUCAUGGUCUGUUCCAAUAAAGUCAUGCAUAAAUGCUGCUAGGAACCAUUCACCCCUUUUUCCUUUCUACCUCCCAUGGACUGAGGCAUCUGAUACUUCAUAUUCUGCGGUGGUAUUUGUUUUCCACACUGACCCACCAAAAUAUUUUAUGACAGUAAUAAAAUAAAGUGCCUGUGUGGUUAGAAUUGCUGAGUUUAGCAAGGAAGGUGAAAGAAUGGUCACUGGAGGAGAACUGCUGCCACCAGCAAGUGCAGGGAGUCCAACCAGGGCAGGCAACAGGUCAUCCAGGCUCCAUGGUGUUUAGCUGUAUGAGCCAUGGGAGUAGGGCUGUGUACCCUUACAGAUGUGGUAAAUUGGGAGCUGCAGUAACAGAAUGACAUCAGUCAUGACCAGCAAGGCUGUAGCCACACAGCUAGCUAAAAGGUGAAACUGAGCCACUUGUCAUGGGCUUCACCUUUCAGGUGCUCUGUCCCAGGGACCAGGGAAGAGAACUUACUGCAGGGCUCCAGCUGUAUGUAAAAGCUGAGCUGCUCCAUCCAGUGGCUUUCUGUUCCCUUCACCAAGGGCUAGUGUGAGGCAGCAGUCUUUUAAUCCAGCUGUUAUUCCUCAGGGUACAGCUUGUAUCCUGAGCAAAGUGAUUACAGAUCUAGCCUUGCAAACUGGAGGUACAGUAAGAAAAAUGAUGCCACUAUGUUUUGAGAGGUUUACCUACGGGCGUAUCAGACACCAUUUGAAGAAAGCCCUCCCUGGCUGUGCACGGAGAGAGAGGCCCUUAAUCUAUCUAAUGGCUCCCAUGACAUUGAUGUACUGUCUCUUUCAUUGUUGUGUUAAGGACCUCUCAAGCAUUC